GACAGAGGGUGCAAACGUUGUUCGGAAUUACUGGGCGUAAAGCGUGUGUAGGCGGCUUUGCAAGUCAGGCGUGAAAUCCCCGGGCUCAACCUGGGACGUGCACUUGAAACUGCAGAGCUUGAGUAUCGGAGAGGUUGGUGGAAUUCUCGGUGGAGAGGUGAAAUUCGUAGAUAUCGAGGGGAACACCAGUGGCGAAGGCGGCCAACUGGACGAAUACUGACGCUGAGACGCGAAAGCGUGGGGAGCAAACAGG
rnacentral:rRNA from 1 species